UACAGAGGGGGCAAGCGUUAUUCGGAAUUAUUGGGCGUAAAGGGCGCGUAGGCGGCUUGGCAAGUGGAAGGUGAAAUCCCUCGGCUUAACCGAGGAACUGCCUUCCAGACUGCUUUGCUUGAGGCCGGGAGAGGCGAGUGGAAUUCCCAGUGUAGCGGUGAAAUGCGUAGAUAUCUGCAGGAACACCCGUGGCGAAAGCGGCGCGCUGGACCACUACUGACGCUGAGGAACGAAAGCUAGGGGAGCAAACAGG
rnacentral:rRNA from 1 species